rnacentral:rRNA from 1 species
CCCUUAGAUGUUCUGGGCCGCACACGCGCUACACUGAAGGAGGCAGCGUGUACUCCUGGAUCGAAAGAUUUGGGUAACCCGCGAAUCUCCUUCGUGCUAGGGAUUGAGGUUUGCAAUUAUUCUUCAUGAACGAGGAAUUCCCAGUAAGUGCAAGUCAUAAGCUUGCGCUGACUACGUCCCUGCCCUUUGUACACACCGCCCGUCGCUACUACCGAUUGAAUGAUUUAGUGAGGACUUCGGACUGGGACCGAUGCGGCUUUCGGGCUGCGUCGGUAUUCUGGAAAGAUGUCCAAACUGUAUCAUUUAGAGGAAGUAAAAGUCGUANCA